rnacentral:rRNA from 1 species
GGAUUAGAUACCCUGGUAGUCCAUGCUGUAAACGAUGAGUACUCGAUGUGCGGGGUGUACGACCCCUCGCGUGUCACAGCUAACGCAAUAAGUACUCCGCCUGGGGACUACGGUCGCAAGACUAAAACUCAAAGGAAUUGACGGGGGCCCGCACAAGCGGUGGAGGAUGUGGUUUAAUUCGACGCAACGCGAAGAACCUUACCUGGACUUGACAUCCCGGGACCGCUCCAGAGAUGGAGUUUUCUCUUCGGAGACCCGGUGACAGGUGCUGCAUGGCUGUCG